rnacentral:rRNA from 1 species
GACGGGGGAUGCAAGUGUUAUCCGGAAUCACUGGGCGUAAAGCGUCUGCAGGUGGUUUCCUAAGUCCACUGUUAAACCUUGAGGCUCAACCUCAAAUCUGCAUUGGAAACUAGGAGACUUGAGUAUAGUAGGGGUAGAGGGAAUUUCCAGUGGAGCGGUGAAAUGCGUAGAUAUCGGAAGGAACGCCGGUGGCGAAAGCGAGCUGCUGGACCUCUUCUGACGCUGAGGCACGAAAGCCAGGGGAGCAAACGGG